rnacentral:rRNA from 1 species
GACGUAGGGUGCGAGCGUUGUCCGGAAUUAUUGGGCGUAAAGAGCUCGUAGGCGGUUUGUUGCGUCGGCUGUGAAAUCCCGAGGCUCAACCUCGGGUCUGCAGUCGAUACGAGCAAACUAGAGUGUUGCAGGGGAGACUGGAAUUCCUGGUGUAGCGGUGAAAUGCGCAGAUAUCAGGAGGAACACCGGUGGCGAAGGCGGGUCUCUGGGCAGUAACUGACGCUGAGGAGCGAAAGCGUGGGGAGCGAACAGG